rnacentral:rRNA from 1 species
GUAAAACCCUCGUUACUGGUAAUCGUCGCGGCCACGCCGUUAAACCCCAACUUCUGAAUG